UAUCUCUGUAGAGUCUGCAUAUCAAUAAGCGGAGGAAAAGAAACUGACAAGGAUUCCCCUAGUAACGGCGAGUGAAGCGGGAAGAGCUCAAAUUUGAAAUCUCAAGGUUCUACCUUGACGAAUUGUAGUUUAAAGAAGUGUUUUCUGUUAGAUGAGUAGUAAAAGUUCCUUGGAAUAGGGACAUCAUAGAGGGUGAGAAUCCCGUAUUUGACUAUUCAUUUCUAGCUUUGUGAUACACUUUCAAAGAGUCGGAUUGUUUGGGAAUGCAGUCCAAAAUGGGUGGUAAAUUUCAUCUAAAGCUAAAUAUUGGCGAGAGACCGAUAGCGAACAAGUACCGUGAGGGAAAGAUGAAAAGAACUUUGAAAAGAGAGUUAAACAGUACGUGAAAUUGUCAAAAGGGAAGCGUUUGACACCAGUGUUGUUUUUCCGAAAAUCAAUUAAAAAUUGAUUCAUGCCAGGUUGUAUUGACCUUAUCAGCUUGCAAUUUGGUUUUGGGUCUCUUUUUGAUGCACUUUUCGGUUAACAAGUCAACAUCAAUUUCCUUUGCUGUAAAAAGGUAAGAGGAAGGUGGCUUCAAUUUCGGUUGAAGUGUUUAUAGCCUUUUAUCUCUGCAGUCGGGGAGAUUGAGGUCUGCAGCGUAGAUCCUUCGGGGCUAGAUACAUUUAUGCUAAGUUAUAGCUUUUCAUAGACAACUUGUUGACUAUGUUUAGUCAUGUAGCUUACUCGUAAGUGCUAUUUUACCUACGCUUAGGAUGUUGAAGACUCUACAGAGAUA
rnacentral:rRNA from 1 species